UACGAGUGCCUCAAGCGUUAUCCGGAAUCAUUGGGCGUAAAGGUUGUGUAGGUGGUCAUAUUAGUCUUCUGUUAAAUUCUUCGGCUUAACCGGGGGCAUGCAGGGGAAACGGUAUGACUAGAGGAUGCGAGGGGUCUGUGGAACUCAUAGUGUAGCGGUAAAAUGCGUUGAUAUUAUGGGGAACACCAAAAGCGAAGGCAGCAGACUGGAGCACUCCUGACACUGAAACAAGAAAGCGUGGGUCGCGAAUGGG
rnacentral:rRNA from 1 species